rnacentral:rRNA from 1 species
GACGAACGCUGGCGGCGUGCUUAACACAUGCAAGUCGAACGGUAAGGCGCCGCCCUUGUUGGGUGGUGGAGUGGCGAGGGGGAGAGUAACACGAGAGGAACGUGCCCUGGACCCUGCGACUAGUUCAGGAAACGGGAGUGAAGACAGGAUAGGAGAUCCUGCUGCAGGGGGGGGGUUGGACUGGUUCGGAGGUUGGGGCGGGAGGCGCGGGUGGUCAGGUUGUUGGUGGGGUAGGGGCGUACGCGGGCUUUGACGGGUGGCCGGCCUGAGAGGGUGACCGGCCACGUUGGGACUGCGAUGCGGCCCAGACUCCUACGGGAGGCAGCAGUGGGGAAUAGUGCACAAUGGGCGGACGCCUGAUGCAGCAACGCCGCGUGCGGGAUGACGGCCUUCGGGUUGUAAACCGCUUUCGCCUGUGACGAAGCGUGAGUGACGGUAAUGGGUAAAGAAGCGCCGGCUAACUACGUG